rnacentral:rRNA from 1 species
AUGGAGCAGCCCAUGGACAAUGAUUGCUUCAACACCGCCGUGCUUAUGCUGGCAUAUGUGACGAGGGAGUAUUGUUCACAGACCCUCCUAUACACUACAUGGAUCUACGAUUUUUCCAUGCUGCUAGAGUCAACACGAGGUCAGAAGUUUUGUGAGAAGGAAACUAUCCAGACGUUGGCAGCAUUAUUUGAUUGCUGGCCUGGGAUGGAGACCGACAUCUCAUCUUGCAAUAAGGAAUGUGUCUGGCUAUUUUGUUUUUCAUUUUAUGCUCCGGUGGAACGGAUGGGAAUCUUUUGGCCACUCGAGGUGGGGGGAAGGAGAAGGGAGGGCUGUAUCAAUCGCGACCGUUGGUUGGAUGAGCAUCCUGGAUUGCACGGCGAGGUGGUGAACGGCAUGAGAACCUCACGUGGCGGCUUCAUCGUAAUUGCUGGGAUGGGCGAUGGGCCGCGUGGAAGAUGA